rnacentral:misc_RNA from 1 species
GAUGAAGAACGUAGCGAAAUGCGAUACUUGGUGUGAAUUGCAGAAUCCCGUGAACCAUCGAGUCUUUGAACGCAAGUUGCGCCUCAAGCCAUUAGGUUGAGGGCACGUCUGCCUGGGCGUCACAUAUCGUUGCCUGAUGCCAGUUUCCUCGUGAUGGGUGACUGUGCAGGGCGAAUGAUGGCUUCCCGUGAGCAUUGUUGCCUCAUGGUUGGUUGAAAAUUGAGUCCUUGGUAGGGAGCGCCGUGAUAGAUGGUGGUUGAGUGACGAACGAGACCCAAUCAUGUAAGACCCCUACCGAAUUUGGCCUUCAUGACCCACAUGCGUCUUUGGAACGCUCAUGACGAGACCUCAGGUCAGGCGGGGCUACCCGCUGAGUUUAAGCAUAUCAAUAAGCGGAGGA